GCAAACUUGGUCAUUUAGAGGAAGUAAAAGUCGUAACAAGGUUUCCGUAGGUGAACCUGCGGAAGGAUCAUUAAAGAAUGAACUCGGGGUCAAUGCUGAUUGCUGGUCCUUAGGGACAUGUGCACGCUUGGCCUCUUGUUUUUCAACCACCUGUGCACUUUUUGUAGAUUUGGAGAAUCAACCUUGGUUGGAUUGGAGGAUUGACAAUUAAUUUGUCAUUGCUCUGAAGGCUCCGGUCUAUGUUUUUAUAUAUACCAUUUGAUUGUUAUUGGAAUGUUUUAUUGGGCUUAUAUUGGGCCUAUAACAAAAUAUAAUACAACUUUCAACAACGGAUCUCUUGGCUCUCGCAUCGAUGAAGAACGCAGC
rnacentral:misc_RNA from 1 species